UAAUAGUAAUUAAAAGAAACUAAGUUGGACUAUUCCCUCACAAGGCGUCACGUAUGGGCAUGUAGGGCUUUUUGUCCCAACUAGAUGAUAGUGAUAUAUGAGUUUGGUAACAUCGAUUUUCUAGAACGUUAUUUUUUUUUCUUUUCCAAUUUUGAUCUGUUUGUAUUUGAAUUUAUAUAUUUUGACAGGGUAAAAGGCGGUGACGCGUGGUUGCAAUUAUUAAAAAUGUUAUUCGAUGGUGUGAUAGUGUUCACAUAUUUUGACUCCGGUGU
rnacentral:lncRNA from 1 species